GUUCUCGUUAGAUCACCGAAGUCCAGCAUCAUUGGGCGCGGUCAGUACUUGGGUGGGUGACCACUUGGGAACACCGCGUGCCGUU